UAUACGACUCUCGGCAACGGAUAUCUCGGCUCUCGCAUCGAUGAAGAACGUAGCGAAAUGCGAUACUUGGUGUGAAUUGCAGAAUCCCGUGAACCAUCGAGUCUUUGAACGCAAGUUGUGCCCGAGGCCUUUCGGUUGAGGGCACGCCUGCCUGGGUGUCAUGC
rnacentral:rRNA from 1 species